UACGGGGGGUGCAAGCGUUAAUCGGAAUCACUGGGCGUAAAGGGUGCGUAGGCGGUGCAUUAGGUCUGUCGUGAAAUCCCCGGGCUCAACCUGGGAAUGGCGGUGGAAACCGGUGUACUAGAGUAUGGGAGAGGGUGGUGGAAUUCCAGGUGUAGCGGUGAAAUGCGUAGAGACCUGGAGGAACAUCAGUGGCGAAGGCUGCCAUCUGGCCCAAUACUGACGCUGAGGCACGAAAGCGUGGGGAGCAAACAGG
rnacentral:rRNA from 1 species